GUGGUGUACCACAAGAGUUCCUGGGGAUCCCCCGCGGUAGGGUAUGGCUGCAAAUCUUAGUUGAGAGGUGACUGGCCCCAGUGAUUUCCGCCAGACCAGAGUGUUUUUUGUGAGGUCUUGAUAAAAUGUUUGCGAGGAGCCUUUGAAAGUCAGAGGUGCCUUAUUCCUCAGUGCCAUCAUGAUCUGGUUUUUGUCUUGUGAGGUUAAGCAGCGAAGAAUGACGUCUCGUGCUCCUCCAGUUGGUGUUUUAAGUGCACUCGUAAUGCGAUACACUCCGUCCAUGACCAUUUUUUUGGCAGUUGUGUGGGGUAGUAUGGAUGCAAAUAAUCUGCGAGUAUAAUGUGGGAGUUCGUCCGCUGUCACAGCAGCAG